UGCGGGGUGCUGGCCCCACAGCCAAGUCUGUGCGAUGGGGCUGCGUUCUUUAGGUGUCCACACGGUGGCCUAGCGUUCAGGGAACAGUCCGCAGCGCUGGAAAGGGACAGAAACUAGGGAUCGUAGGAUGCGCCCUUAUGGCUUCCUUGGAGGAUCGCACGCUGCGAGGUGGAGAGGCUCAAGGACAGGACAAGGAGCAAGAAAGCUGGCCAAAUCACCUCGCGAGUUCCGCUGCACUUGACCGAGUCUGGAAACUGCGGGGUCUCUGGGUGGGCGGGGCCCCAGUGACAGCCUGGCUAGUGCCCAGAAUCAGGGUAGCCAGUCUCCAACUGCACUUUGGAACAGGACAGGGGGUGGGGCCAGUUGGCCCACUCAGGCCGGGUCUCGAGGCUGCAGAGGGCUGCUGGUCCUCCCGCCCAAGGUUGGUGAGUGGAUGGGAGAAGCCAAGUGGAGUCAGAGUGGACAUUUCUCCGUCUGAGUGCCCCAAGACCAGCUAUUGUAGGGACAAGACAGCGACAACCCAGAGCAGGCCCUGACAGACCUUCCAAACGGGGAGUAAGCUCCGCUCAUUUCUCAACUGCCCCAUAUACAACCCUUUCAGACUCCAAGAGAGGAAAGGUUGCAGCCCUGGCCCUGGGUUUUGGAAACCCUGCCUUUGAUAUUGGUCCUCUGAAUGGCCCUUCUAGAACCUCGCUAGCGCAAGGGAGUUAAUCCUUUCUGCACCAGCAGGCUGUUACCAUGGAGAAGAGUGGCAGGUAUUUGCUGUGCUACUUGUCACCAACUCCCCCAUACAGCUUCUUGAUCCCCCAAGGAGCCUGGCUUCCAGGUGACCUCUGCCUUCCUUGCUCCUUAGCGACACACAUCUUUGUUCUGGGGAUCUCGGAUCUGUCCCUGUUGAUCACGACUUUCAUGCCUGUGCUUUGUGGUCACCUCUCCUCUUCUGGCUUCCUCGGCCACAUUCAUGCAGCUCAACAGAAGGCAGGGAUGGGCUUAGGGCUGAGAGGCUGCCAGCCCUUCUCUACUUGGUCGCAAGGCACAGUGAGUUUACUGUCCCAGUACCUGUACUGUCUGGUUGAAAAGCUCAGUGCUAGGCUAGUGCCAGGAGGGGCCUGGAUUCCAGUUCUCGUUUGGAUGGUUCCCCCUGAGCCUGUCCUUUGUCCUUUUCUGCGGGCAGACUAUGGUGCCACCUCCUGUUUGCCCUGCCUAGGGAAAGGGGGAAGAAGGCAGAGGACAUUAAAUGGGGUGACAUUUAAAAUUAGAUGCUGACCCUGAAGUGCUAGAAUUCUAUUUCGGCUAAGUGGCUGUUGGGGGAAGGAAGGUGAUGAAAACCAGAGAUGCCCUCUAGCCUGCUGGUGUCUACAGGGGCCAGAAAUAGGAAAUGGUGUCUGGGGGGGGAGCAUUUCGAGCCAUAACCGGCAGGGAAACUGUGGCAGACCCCCAGCUGGGAGAGCCCAGGUCUCCCCUAUAUCUUAGACUUUGCUUGGGAGAACAGCAUGCUUGCUUGGAUUCCAACAGCUGCUCCCGUGUGCUUUUUGUUCGAGCGGGUUCUGGUCUGCCACGAGGCGAGUGGGUUACUUGUCACAGAGUUGGCCAGAUGGGAGGAGGCUGCGUUGUUUGGCAGAACAGCCACUGGAUGGGCUUUCUGAGGUGAGUCAUACAGGGAGCCAGUGCAGGCGAGGCUUGCCCUGAAAGGGUUCAACGUGGCCAGAGCCACACAAGAGAAAGGAGCUUUCUGAAGCCACUGUGAGUGCAGAGUAUGGAAGGCUUUCCCGGGUUCCCAGUUAGCUUUAAGGGGUGCCAAUAGGAAAGCUCAGGUUUGAGAACAGCAGAGACAAGCUGAACCAGACAGGCCCCACAGAAGCAGAGCUGGGGUAGAGGCCAGAAAGGGAGCCCGAAUUGGCAAGGGGCUCAGCUCAGUGUGACCCCAGGGAUCACAACAAUUCUCUCUUCAGAUCCUUGGCCAUCUGCUUCCAGAAAGGUAGACUAGCUAAUGGGAACAUGGUGCCAGAGGACACUGCUGAGGAGUGAGGGGGUAGUAUGCCCAGGACCACCACGAUGUCAGCUGCUGCAGGACACUGACUUGAGCCCCUUCUCCAGAAGCAGCCCCUUGAAGGUCAGCUCCACACAGAAAGACAACCUUGUUUACUCAUCUCACCAACCUCUUCCAGACAGGACUCUCCUGAGAGGUCCCUCUAGGCUUAAUCCAAGAAUAGAGGAGAGAGUGGCCACUUUAUUGGCCUUGGUUCUCCCAAAGAGCAGCUGUGGCUCCAAUUGGUCCAGCCUCUCCCAUGUCUACUUCUGCCCUGUAUAAGCUCUGGGACAGCAGUCCUGCCCACUGUCUGGGCAUUCUAUGGUCUUCAUGAACGGGGAAACAGGGCCUCUGAGGAAAGUCAAAGCAGCUGGACUUGGUACCACACAGACCAGCAGCUCUCUAGAGUCUCCUCCUCUGAGCCAAGCCCCUGGGUGUUCAGGCUGAGCUGAAGUUGUGGGGAGUGGGUAGAAGACAUGCAGGGUGCACUAGGUACCAUGUGCAGGAAGCAGAUGUGAGCGGAGAGGGCCAGGGAGCAGGGAAGAGGCCAGCACCCUGCUUUUUUUUUGUUUUUGUUCCUUUAGCUGCCAUGCCAAUUUGUGGGUGUGGGUCUUCUCCAGGGAAGCCAGCAGCCUAGGGGCAGCCUGCUGUUCUCCCAGGGUUCCUUUGGGUCUCAGAAGCCCCUUCCUAGGAUGUGUGGAAACGUUGAGCGCUACCUGAGACGCCAGGGACGGUGUCCAGCAUUAGCUUAGGGUGGGCUUUCCGAGGACAGCGUGCAUUUUCUGUAUUAUACUGUAUGUAUUAUUUGUGGUUUUGGUUUGACUCUGAGACAGAGUCACACUAUGUAGCCCUGGCUGGCCUGGAACUAGUUAUGUAGAUGAGGCUGGCCUCAAACUCAGAGAGAUCUGCCCAUCUCUGCCUCCCGGAUGCUGGAAUGAAAUGCUAUGGUACCACAUCUGGCUGACUUCUAUACUCUGAUCUGCUGGCCUGGGAGCUUUGCCGGCUCUGGACAGGUGCCCAUCUCCAAAGGCAGACCACUCCCCAGAGCUGGCAGACCCACAGGGUCGCCUACCCUGGCCUGCAGGGCAUGUGGCUCUCGAGGGUCAGCUUUGUCUCACUGAACCCUGGACCUUCUAAUGAACAGGGUAAAUGCAUCCUGACCACAGUCAGGACCUACCAUCCAAGAGCUCUUCCUGGAUCCUGCCACCUUUGUGGUCACUGGUCAAUGGCCUGAGGCCAAGCUGUAUGUGGUGGUUUGAAGAGGAAUGGCCCCCGUGCGCUCAUGUAUUUCAAUGUUUGAUUCCCGGCUGGUGGACUGUCGUGGAAGAAUCUGGAAAUGCGGCCUUGUUGGAGAAGGUAUGUCACUGGGGUGGGCUGUGAGGUUUCAAAAGCCAGACCCACUCUCUCCCUGCUUUCUGCCUGCAGAUCAGAAUGUCGCUCUUAGCUACUGCUCCUGUGCCAUGCCUGCCUGCUGCUACGCUCCCCGCCAUGCUGUUCUGAAGCUGUAACCGACCCCCGACCCCCCGAAUAAAUGCUUUCUUCUUUAA